GAUGAACGCUGACAGAAUGCUUAACACAUGCAAGUCCACUUGAACUUCGGUUUGGGUGGCGGCCGGGUGAGUAACGCGUAAAGAACUUGCCUCACAGUUAGGGACAACAUUUGGAAACGAAUGCUAAUACCUGAUAUUAUGAUUUUAGGGCAUCCUAGAAUUAUGAAAGCUAUAUGCGCUGUGAGAGAGCUUUGCGUCCCAUUAGCUAGUUGGAGAGGUAACGGCUCACCAAGGCGAUGAUGGGUAGCCGGCCUGAGAGGGUGAACGGCCACAAGGGGACUGAGACACGGCCCUUACUCCUACGGGAGGCAGCAGUGGGGAAUAUUGGACAAUGGACCAAGAGUCUGAUCCAGCAAUUCUGUGUGCACGAUGAAGUUUUUCGGAAUGUAAAGUGCUUUCAGUUGGGAAGAAAAAAAUGACGGUACCAACAGAAGAAGUGACGGCUAAAUACGUG
rnacentral:rRNA from 1 species